CUACUACUCCCUCCGUCCGAAAAUACUUGUCAUUGAAAUGGAUGUAUCUAGAUGUAUUUUAGUUCUAGACACAUCCAUUUUGAUGACAAGUAAUUCCAGACGGAGGGAGUAUUAU
rfam:Triticum aestivum genome assembly, contig: Triticum_aestivum_CS42_TGACv1_scaffold_290412_4AL